UAUUGCACAAUGGGGGGAACCCUGAUGCAGCGACGCCGCGUGGGUGAAGAAGUACCUCGGUAUGUAAAGCCCUAUCAGCAGGGAAGAUGAUGACAGUACCUGACUAGGAAGCCCCGGCUAACUACGUGCCAGCAGCCGCGGUAAUACGUAGGGGGCAAGCGUUAUCCGGAUUUACUGGGUGUAAAGGGAGCGUAGGCGGCCAUGCAAGACAGAAGUGAAAGCCCGGGGCCCAACCCCGGGACUGCUUUUGAAACUGUGUGGCUGGAGUGUCGGAGGGGUAAGUGGAAUUCCUAGUGUAGCGGUGAAAUGCGUAGAUAUUAGGAGGAACACCAGUGGCGAAGGCGGCUUACUGGACGACCACCGACGCUGAGGCUCGAAAGCGUGGGGAGCAAACAGG
rnacentral:rRNA from 1 species